rnacentral:rRNA from 1 species
CUUUUUCCGUGCCGGACUGUGUCCAACUCCCUUGGAACAAGGUAUCAAAGAGGGUGAUAAUCCCGUACUUGACACAAUGACCGGUGCUCUGUGAUACGUCUUCUACGAGUCGAGUUGUUUGGAGAAUGCAGCUCAAAAUGGGUGGUGAGUUCCAUCUAAAGCUAAAUAUUGGCGAGAGACCGAUAGCGAACAAGUACCGUGAGGGAAAGAUGAAAAGCACUUUGGAAAGAGAGUUAAACAGUACGUGAAAUUGUUAAAAGGGAAACGAUUGAAGUCAGUCGUGACUGAGAGGCUCAGCCGGUUCUGCCGGUGUAUUCCCCUCAGUCGGGUCAACAUCAGUUUUGUUCGGUGGAUAAGGGCAGUUGGAAGGUGGCACCCUCGGGUGUGUUAUAGCCAGCUGUCGCAUACAUCGGAUGAGACUGAGGAAUGCAGCUCGCCUUUAUGGCCGGGGUUCGCCCACGUUCGAGCUUAGGAUGUUGACAUAAUGGCUUUAAACGACC